AACCCAUGAUUUGGGUAUUUUCUCAUCAUCCUCUUGAAUCUCUCCCAUGUCUCACAGAAAGACUCCUAUACUCCAUGUCUAAACAUAGAUAUUUCAAACUUAGCUU
rnacentral:snoRNA from 1 species